rfam:Felis catus isolate Cinnamon breed Abyssinian chromosome D2, whole genome shotgun sequence.
GCCUGGGUGGCUCAGUCGGUUGAGCGUCCGACUUCGGCUCAGGUCACCAUCUCGCGGUCCGUGAGUUCGAGCCUUGCAUCGGGCU